rnacentral:rRNA from 1 species
AUUGAACGCUGGCGGCAGGCCUAACACAUGCAAGUCGAACGCGUGGCGGACGGGUGAGUAAUGUCUGGGAAACUGACUGAUGGAGGGGGAUAACUACUGGAAACGGUCGCUAAUACCGCAUACCCUCGGAUGUGCCCAGAUGGGAUUCGCUAGUAGGUGGGGUAACGGCUCACCUAGGCGACGCUCCCUAGCUGGUCUGAGAGGAUGACCAGCCACACUGGAACGGAGACACGGUCCAGACUCCUACGGGAGGCAGCAGUGGGGAAUAUUGCACAAUGGGCGCAAGCCUGAUGCAGCCAUGCCGCGUGUAUGAAGAAGGCCUUCGGGUUGUAAAGUACUUUCAGCGGGGAGGCGUUACCCGCAGAAGAAGCACCGGCUAACUCCGUGCCAGCAGCCGCGGUAAUUC